AGUCGUAACAAGGUCUCCGUUGGUGAACCAGCGGAGGGAUCAUUACCGAGUUUACAACUCCCAAACCCCUGUGAACAUACCUAUACGUUGCCUCGGCGGAUCAGCCCGCGCCCCGUAAAACGGGACGGCCCGCCCGAGGACCCUAAACUCUGUUUUUAGUGGAACUUCUGAGUAAAACAAACAAAUAAAUCAAAACUUUCAACAACGGAUCUCUUGGUUCUGGCAUCGAUGAAGAACGCAGCAAAAUGCGAUAAGUAAUGUGAAUUGCAGAAUUCAGUGAAUCAUCGAAUCUUUGAACGCACAUUGCGCCCGCCAGUAUUCUGGCGGGCAUGCCUGUUCGAGCGUCAUUUCAACCCUCAAGCUCAGCUUGGUGUUGGGACUCGCGGUAACCCGCGUUCCCCAAAUCGAUUGGCGGUCACGUCGAGCUUCCAUAGCGUAGUAAUCAUACACCUCGUUACUGGUAAUCGUCGCGGCCACGCCGUUAAACCCCAACUUCUGAAUGUUGACCUCGGAUCAGGUAGGAAUACCCGCUGAACUUAAGCAUAUCAAUAA
rnacentral:misc_RNA from 1 species